rnacentral:rRNA from 1 species
ACACGUAGGGGCCUGACGUUGUUCGGAAUCAUUGGGCGUAAAGGGCGCGCAGGCGGCCGUCCAAGUCCGGUGUUAAAUGGUCGGGCUCAACCCGAUCAUGCGCUGGAAACUGGGCGGCUGGAGUCCCGGAGGGGAUGCCGGAAUUCAAGGUGUAGGGGGGAAAUCUGUAGAUAUCUGGAAGAACACCGAUGGCGAAGGCAGGCAUCUGGCCGGAGACUGACGCUGAGGCGCGAAGGCGCGGGGAGCGAACAGGUUUAGAUACCCUGGUAGUCCGCGCAGUAAACGAUGCGCACCAGGUGUCGGGCGGCAGCGCCCGGUACCGGAGCAAACGCGAUGAGUGCGCCGCCUGGGGAGUAUGCCCGCAAGGGUGAAACUCAAAGGAAUUGACGGGG